UCACACAUCUGAGUACUCCUUUGACAACUGUUUGUGAAUAAAUUGCCAUCAUGAGAUUUUCAGUGUAUUCUUCUUGUGUUUAACUUUUGAAGUUUAUCAAUGCAGAAAACUCAGGGCCAGGAUACCAAACCAGAACCCAGUACAGGAGCAGUUUGAUCUUCAGUCGGAAGGAGAGGUGGGUCUCCCUCAGCUGCAGGGUGUCACAGACAUUAGGGGAAAUUACAAGCACAGGAGUCAGUACACGGAGAGGCUCAAUUCAAUCUACGGUCUCUGAGCUGAUGAGGCAUUUAAAUGAAAGUUAAACAAGAGACAUGGACAAACCAGGGGCUUCAAGGGAAGGCAAUCAGAGGGAGGACAACUGGGUCCCUGAUGCCUUUGGCUUAUCUAACAUUAAUACAUUAAAACCAGAGCUGUCACUGUAGGGAUUUUUUUUACUUGUGAAUUCAUGGUACUCUGUGUAUUUUAGUAUGUUGUUAUGUAUAAGUUGGUUUUAUGAGUAGUAUGCUGUGUUGAAUGUUUUCAUGUCUGUCAAUGUCAAUGUUAGUUGUAAUGACAAUAAAGGUAUCUCAGCUCAACAGGCUUCCAUUGGGUUCUGUGCCCCCUACUGUUCUGUGAGGGAAUUACAGGGGGUAUUUUAAAUUACAAUACACUGCAUUUCAGAGACUACAGUCAAGUAUAGUUUUAUGUUCAAUUAUUCCAGUGGAGGACAUCUCUGAGUGUGUGUUGCUCUGCUGUUUUACUCACAGACAAGAUAUAUGCUGGCAGAGAGAGACAGGAUAUUUUGUAAUUGUAAAGUAACAGUUCUUGUUCUUAUAAUAGUGUCAAAGUGUCUUGUGAUCAAAACAGUGAAGUAUUCCAAAGUAGAAGCUGUUGACUCCUCUGGGGGAAUGCAUAUGUAACCCACUGAGCAACAGCUCCUUUAUUAGGUCAGGUUAUUAUGCUUCAAGCAUCAAAAGUAUUUGACAUGUUCUUAAAGUACACUCAGCAGCAGGGUCACACUAUGUGGCUAAAGUGUGUUCAACACUAUGCAGAGGUGCUUUUCCUGCAGUUGAACAUGUCUGUUAUAUGCAUUUUAAUGAUCACUAAUUAAAUAAAUUUUACGGUAUAUUUAUUUUUAUUUUCAACAUGCUCUAAAUGUACACUUAGCAGAAUGGUCACACACCUUAGUUUUGAGCAGCCAAACAGCAGCUAACCACUUCCUUUUCUCUGCGCCUCCUCCACAAAUACAUGUAAAAGCUGAUGGUGAAGUUUCAGUCUUUAUCUGAUGGCCAUUAUGUUCAGCCUAAACCAAGCAGCUCUGCUCUCCAUUCAAGUAUUAAUUAUGUGUCAAGUCUUUGCAGAGAUUCUUUCAGACAUAGUUGAGCACAAGAAUAUGCUGGUGUCCAGGGGAGACCCCGUCAUCCUCACUUGCAACAUAUCAACGACAAAUGCAACGCAAAUCAACUGGACCAAAGACAGCUCUUUUUUUUCUCAUCUAGUCUUACACAACAAAACUGUUUCAAAUUUCACCUCUCACAAAAUAGACGUAAACUUACCUUCAAAGCUGAAUAUUUCUAAUGUUCAGCAUGACAAUGCAGGACUCUACAGAUGUGAUAUAAUUGACAAAAAAGGUACAUGGACUAUCAAGUGGAAUUUAACGGUGUCUGAACCUGAAGAAAUCAGUUCAUCCUGGUCUUUUCUAUAAAUACUCACAGCUGUAACUGGAUUUGUUCUAUAUGUCUUCACUCUAGCUGUGUGCUUCUACAGAAAAAGCUGGACCGAGACCCCAAACCAGGACAAAGACAGCAGGGCCCUGAGCUAUGCCCAGUUUUGUGUUCAGUUUGGAAGAGAGGUGGCUCCUCCUGCUCCAUCCCAAAGUUGUGCAGAAUACACAACGCAGCCCAGACAGAGGGAGUCGGUUCAUCUAGAGGCUCAAUUCAAUCCUGACAAGCAUGAAGUUCAGUAUAAAGCUGAAUAGGAAACAAGAGAUGUGUUGAACAGAAGAGAGACGACACAUUUGACGAUGGCGACUGCCCCCCUUGGUGACCCAUGUUAAAAAAAAA